GGUUCCAACCAUUAUCAGGGAUUACUUUAAGUUCUCAACCUUUUCUUCCAGUUUCUUCUUUCUUAACAGCAUCUCUCGAUACAUUUGAUGAAACCGUCGGCUUUCGCCCUCCGAUUCUCGAAGUCUCUUCCUCAGAACUUCAGACUCCACCUCGGUAUCCUGGACCGCCUGUUGCUCAUAGACCAGCUGAAUUCUCAGCCGCUGCAGUUC
rnacentral:lncRNA from 1 species